CUCACAGUCAUAUGUGACCUAUUCCUCAAGGUCCAGUUUUCCCAGGAAUCCCUUGGGUGCUGUGGUGGGGAUUCCUGGAAAUACUGUUCUUGGGGUGUAGGCGUGGCAACUGGAACUCUC
rnacentral:pre_miRNA from 14 species